GGAGUUAGCCGGUGCUUCUUCUGUGAGUGAUGUCCUUCCUGCCGGCUAUUAACCCGCAGGCCUUCUUCCUCACUGAAAGUGCUUUACAACCCGAAGGCCUUCUUCACACACGCGGCAUGGCUGGAUCAGGGUUGCCCCCAUUGUCCAAUAUUCCCCACUGCUGCCUCCCGUAGGAGUCUGGGCCGUGUCUCAGUCCCAGUGUGGCUGAUCAUCCUCUCAGACCAGCUACGGAUCGUCGCCUUGGUGAGCCGUUACCUAACCAACCAGCUAAUCCGACAUAGGCUCAUCCGAUAGCGCGAGGCCCGAAGGUCCCCCGCUUUCCCCCGUAGGGCGUAUGCGGUAUUAGCCUGGGUUUCCCCAGGUUAUCCCCCACUACCGGGCAGAUUCCUAUGCAUUACUCACCCGUCCGCCGCUCGCCACCAGGGAGCAAGCUCCCCGUGCUGCCGCUCGACUUGCAUGUGUUAGGCCUGCCGCCAGCGUUCAAUCUGAGCCAUAAUCAAACUCUGA
rnacentral:rRNA from 1 species